AGAGUUUGAUCCUGGCUCAGAACGAACGCUGGCGGCAGGCCUAACACAUGCAAGUCGAGCGCCCGCAAGGGAGCGGCAGACGGGUGAGUAACGCGUGGGAACGUGCCCUUUGGUUCGGAAUAUUCCCGGGAAACUGGGAGCAAAACCGGAUAAGCCCUUCGGGGGAAAGUUUACGCCAAAGGAUCGGCCCGCGUUAGAUUAGGUAGUUGGUGGGGUAACGGCCUACCAAGCCUACGAUCUGUAGCUGAUCUGAGAGGAUGAUCAGCCACACUGGGACUGAGACACGGCCCAGACUCCUACGGGAGGCAGCAGUGGGGAAUCUUGGACAAUGGGCGCAAGCCUGAUCCAGCCAUGCCGCGUGGAUGACUGAAGGCCCUAGGGUUGUAAAGUCCUUUCGACGGGGACGAUAAUGACGGUACCCGUAGAAGAAGCCCCGGCUAACUUCGUGCCAGCAGCCGCGGUAAUACGAAGGGGGCUAGCGUUGUUCGGAUUUACUGGGCGUAAAGGGCGCGUAGGCGGAUUUUUAAGUCGGGGGUGAAAUCCCGGAGCUCAACUCCGGAACUGCCUUCGAUACUGGAAGUCUGGAGCACGGUAGAGGUGAGUGGAAUUCCGAGUGUAGCGGUGAAAUGCGUAGA
rnacentral:rRNA from 1 species